rnacentral:rRNA from 1 species
CCCCUAGAUGUUCUGGGCCGCACGCGCGCUACACUGAACAGUUCAACAAGUCUUAACCUUGGCCGAUAGGUCUGGGCAAUCUUUGAACGCUGUUCGUGAUUGGGAUAGACCUUUGCAAUUAUGGGUCUUCAACGAGGAAUUCCUAGUAAACGCAAGUCAUCAGCUUGCAUUGAUUACGUCCCUGCCCUUUGUACACACCGCCCGUCGCACCUACCGAUUGAAUGGUCCGGUGAAAUCUCGGGACGGCGGCUUGGUCGCUUGCGUCCGACUGCUGAAACUUGAUUAAACCAUAUCAUUUAGAGGAAGGUGAANUCGUANCA